GUCAUCCCAUGCUUGGUCCUUGUUGAAGAUGAUCGCAGCACCGAGACUCCGGGCCGGGUUAAUACCGGUUCCUGUAAUGGGGAUGGUGGCCAAGUGCACCAAGAACACUGCAAACCCAAUUGGGAGAGGUGCCAAGAUCUGCAAGUACCAAAUCAAACUUAUCAAUUAUCACACGGGUUCCUAUUUCUAACCUAUAAUUCAUUACAGCAAGAGAAAUCAUUGUUCUUUACUAUGCUGUCAUCAUUCAUUCCCACAUAAAGAAAAGAGGGUAAAAAACACUCUUCACAUGCUUAAAGGCAAAACCCUACCUAAGGAUGAAAGAGACUUGGGGGGAGAAAAUUUAACCAUGGUCAGUACCACCAAGAAUGCUUUUUCAUGAAAGCAUAGGACCAAAAACAGGGGUCGUUUUCAGUCCAGCUCCUCAAAGGAAGAGUGACCCAACAGAAUCAUUUUGACACAUCGCAUUCAAUGACUGGCCCAUCUGCCCAAAAUUAUUGCUUAUCAAAUGAGGAAACGAUGAACCAAAACAAACACCCUUUAUCUUGUUUGGAGCAAUAAAAGCUUCCGUCCAAAACAUAUCUGCCCCCAUGAAAUUUUGGACACUUGACAUGAAUUUGAGUUUUUAAGGAACGUUUUGAUAGAAAGCUAUGACAAAUUUCAAACUUGGCAGAUGCAAAAACAGAUCUUUAAAGUAACUAAGCCAAGCCUCACACUCCAGGUGGUUUCUUAAGGAAUCAUGCUACACCAAGAGAAGCAACUGCAUAAACUUUAAUAUAGUACGAAGUAAUUAAGGCAAUAUCAAAGUGGAGAGGGAAGUGAAAUACACACAGGAACAUGAGAGUCUCUGGCGUUUCUCUUGGCAUCAGUAGCAGAGAAGACGGUAUACACAAGGACAAAGGUGCCAAUAAUCUCAGCACCGAGACCAUCACCCUUGGUGUAGCCACCAGCCACAACGUUAGCACCACCGCCUUUCAUCUCAUACCUCUGAGAUCCUUCAAAUCCCUUGAUCACACCAGCACCACAGAUGGCUCCAAGCACCUGCAUGAUGAUGUAGAACACGGCCCUUGUCAAGGACAGCUUCCUCGCCAA
rnacentral:lncRNA from 1 species